AACCAACCCUGACUCUGAUGAGAGCCAAGCUCCUAGAUAAGUGCACUUCUGACGCCUUAGCAAGGAAACUUCUCUUUGCAACAGAUGGAGACCAUUACAGGAAAACCACAGUGGAUCAAAAAUGCAGAUUUGUGGAGCACAGUACUGACCCAUCUCCAACUCCAGCACCUUAGGUUCAAGAAUCACUUCAGAAGAGGAGGCUGAAGAAUGUAAGAUCCAGAGGAACAAGACGAUGCUGUAAGAUUGUGUCUCCUACCAGAGAAGAUACACACGUGAAGUCUCAUUAACCUGGACAAAAUCUGAAACAGAGGGGGUUGGAGGGAGGAAGGGAGAGAGACCAGUAAUAGGCAUGAUAACAUGGAAGCAGCAGAGUUCAUGAGCCCUCAACUGUAGACAACUACAGGUAACUAAGGAAAG
rnacentral:lncRNA from 1 species